GGGGUUGUGGCUCAGUGGUAGAGUGCUUGCCUAGCAUGUGUGAAGCGCUGGGUUCAAUCCCCAGCACCA
rnacentral:tRNA from 1 species